rnacentral:rRNA from 1 species
UUCCGGUUGAUCCCGCCGGAGGUCACUGCUAUCGGUGUCCGAUUAAGCCAUGCGAGUCGUGAGGGGUAAAGCCCUCGGCAUACUGCUCAGUAACACGUGGAUAAUCUACCCAAAGGUCUGGGAUAACCCCGGGAAACUGGGGAUAAUACCGGAUAGGCCAAUACGUCUGGAAUGUGUGUUGGCUGAAAGAGUGAUCGCCUUUGGAUGGGUCUGCGGCGGAUUAGGUAGACGCCUGUGCAACGUACCGGCGUGCCUGUAAUCCGUACGGGUUGUGGGAGCAAGAGCCCGGAGAUGGAUUCUGAGACACGAAUCCAGGCCCUACGGGGCGCAGCAGGCGCGAAAACUCUACAAUGCAGGCAACUGCGAUAGGGGGACAUCGAGUGGCACCCACCUUGGGUGUCUGUCCAACCGUCUAAAAAACGGUUGUUAGCAAGGGCCGGGUAAGACCGGUGCCAGCCGCCGCGGUAAUACCGGCGGCUCGAGUGGUGGCCGAUAUUAUUGAGUCUAAAGGGUCCGUAGCCGGCUUUGCAAGUCCUCUGGGAAAUCCAGCGGCUUAACCGUUGGGCUUCCAUGGGAAACUACAUUGCUUGGGACUGGGAGAGGUAGGAGGUACUCGAGGGGUAGGGGUGAAAUCCUGUAAUCCUUCGGGGACCACCGGUGGCGAAGGCGUCCUACCAGAACAGGUCCGACGGUGAGGGACGAAAGCUAGGGGCACGAACCGGAUUAGAUACCCGGGUAGUCCUAGCCGUAAACGAUGCCCGCUAGGUGUCACGGCGGUCGUGAAUCGCGUGGUGCCGUAGGGAAGCCGCGAAGCGGGCACUUGGGAAGUACGGCGCAAGGCUGAACUUAAGGAAUUGGCGGGGAGCACACAACGGGUGGAGC